rnacentral:rRNA from 1 species
CAUAUCCCGUGAGACGGAUGACAUGGCUCAAGAGUCGACGAAGGGCGUGGCAAGCUACGAUAUGCCUCGGCAAACUGCAUGCAGGUAUUGAACCGAGGAUUCCCGAAUCAGACUUCUGAUCUCGCAAGAGAUGAUCCUAACGGAUCGAGAACCCGGGGAACUGAAGCGUCUUAGUACCCGGAGGAAAAGAAAUCAAUCGAGAUGCUGUAAGUAACAGCGAGGGAAAACAGCACAAGACAAACUGAAUCUUGCUAUGAAAGUGGUAAGAGAUGUGGUGUGAUAAGACUUUCUUUUAUCCGUAACUAUUGGUGUUGAACUGCUUUGGAAAAAGUGACGAUACAGGGUGAUAGUCCCGUAAACAACUGAUGGUCGGAGUGAAAGUAUCUUGAGUAGAACUCAUCGGAAAUUGGGUUCGAAUUUGGGAGGCAUCAACUUCCAAUCUUAAAAACAGCUUGAGUCCGAUAGCGAAUGACGUACCGCGAGGGAACGUUGAAAAGAACCCGUAACAGGGAGUUUAAAGAUCCUGAAGUCUCAUGGGUAUAGAGAGAUACUGCUCGUAAGAGUUGUAUCGUACGUUUUGAAUAACGGGCCAGGGAGUUUGCUUGAGUGGCGAGGGUAAGACAUAUUCAUGUUGCACCCGAAGGGAAACCAAGAAGCUGCACGCAAGGAGAGCUCCGAUAGGAAACUGUCGAGAGUCACUGAGGCAUGACCCGAAACCAAUCGAUCUAACCAAUGGCAGGAUGAAGCGGCGUUGAUACGCUGUGGAGGUCCGAGGCGGUACUACAUGCAUGUGUUCGUUUGACCAUAGGUUAGGGGUGAAAAGCCAAUCGAGAUUGGUGAUAGCUGGUUCUUACCGAAAUCGGCCGUAGUCGAGUCUGAAUGGAGAGAGUACUGGAGGUAGAGCGACGGAUCUAAAAGCCUGGGGGAGAAAUCCCUCACUUUUUUGUCCAACUCCCAAUAUCAGUACCUCUGAGAAGUUUGGAAACAGGCGUGCUGGGGUAAACUUGUACGUCUAUAGGGGAACAACCCCAUCUCGUGUUAAGGUCCCAAAGAAUGCGUUAAGUGUUAUAGGGUGAAAGGUGUGUAUCACCUAAGACAGAGGGGAGGUAUGCUUAGAAGCAGCAAUCCUUUAAAGAAAGCGUAAUAGCUCACCCUUCAAGGUAGAUACGCCCUGAAGAUGGACGGGACUAAACGCAUCACCGAUACAUGAGACCUGCUUCCGGGUGGAGGCAGUGUGGUAGGUAAGCGUUCUGUCUGGGUAGAAGCCAAGCUGUGAGGCUAGGUGGACCGGAUAGAAAUGAGAAUCCUGGUGGUAGUAAGAUCGAUAUAGUGUGAGAACCACUAAUACCGAAAGGGCUAGGGUUUCUCAGCAAUGACAAUCAACUGAGAGGUAGUCAGUCCUAACUCAUAUCCUAAUGGAGAAUGGGGAGAGGGAAAACGGUUAAUAUUCCGUUACUUGUUCUGUACGUGCGGCGACGCAAGGUGCGUAGCUGACACUUCCGGCUAGAUGGACACGUACUGUCGUGUGUGUGAAUCUAGAUACAUGAGGGGAGUAUCGUAACGAUGAGAUCCUCAUGAAACUAGAGAUCAGGUAUCCUUUGGGUACUUCCAUUGAUGCCAGGAGUCCGUGAAAAGGCAACGCGCAAGGAUCAGAACAAACUGUACCAACAACCAGCACUGGUGUCCCUAGGUGAGAAGCCUCAGGUAUACAGGAAUAAACUUUGUUAGGGAAAUCGGCAAAUUAGCUCCGUGCCUUCGGCAUAAGGAGUCCCUGAGCUUGUAUUCGUAUGAGUGCAAGUGCAGGGUUGUAUAACAAGAUGGGCCCGACUGUUUAACAAAAACGUAACGUCUCGCAAGUCCGAAAGGAUGUGAAUGGGACGUGACGUCUGCCCAAUGCUAGUAUCUCAAACCUCUGUUCAAGGAGGCUAAGGACUAGUGAAUGGCGGGAAUAACUAUAAUUCUCUUAAGGUGGAACAUAAUACUGCCUUAGUAAAAUCAGGCUAUAUGCUGGAACAUCUCGAAGAAACAAGAGUAGGAAACUUUUUUGGUAACAAGAAAGCAACUCACUGAAAAUCUUUUGUGGAGAGACAAUCAGCAGGAAAGAUUUCUUCGCAAGAAGAAAAAUCCUCAGAGACUAUAUGCCAGACAUCACGCAAUGUGAUGAAGAUAGAGUCCGACCCUAUCAGCGAUGAUAGGAGCUCAUCAGAAAUGGUGAGACGCCAAGAAAACUUGGUCAGUAACUUGUGACAGACAAGCGAAGCAACAGAUGUGAGCGAAAUACCUUGUCGUUUGAAUGACGACGCGCAUGAAUGGCGUAACGAGGUUCAUACUGUCCCAACAAAGAGUCCUCCGAACUCGCUGUGAUGGUGUGAAGGCCAUCGAUGUCCAGUGGGAAGCGAAGACCCCGUAGAACUUUACUGUAGCUUGUCGUUGCGAGGUAAAGGUUCGUAUGUAGCGUAGGUGGUAGUCGUUUGAUGGUCAGCUCGUUAGGGUUGAUCUAGACACCAAUGAAACACCACUUUCGAACUUUUGCCUUGCUGAUUCUCGCAAGAGAAGACAGCGGCUGGCGGACAGUUUGGCUGGGGCGGCACCCUGCUGAAAAGAUAUCAGUAGGGCCCAAAGGUAAGCUCAUCAGGUUUAGAAAUCCUGAGUGGAGUGCAAGAGCAAAAGCUUGCCUGACUGUAUUUCAACCACUACGAAAUGCAGAGACGAAAGUCUGGUCUAGCGAACCCCUAUGUCCUUCUUGGUGAGGGCUAGGUAUGACAGAAAAGCUAUCUCGGGCAUAACUGAGUCGUAGCGCCUAAGAGCUCGAAUCGACGGCGCUGUUUGCUACUUCGAUGUCGGCUCAUCGCAUCCUGGGCGUGCACAAGCGCCCAAGGGUACGGGUGUUCACCGGUUAAAGCGGUUCGUGAGCUGGGUUAAGAACGUCGUGAGACAGUUUGUAUGAUAUCUACUGGAUAUGUUGAUGAUCUGAGAGGAAGGACCAUUUAGUACGAGAGGAACAAUGGUUCGGUGCCUCUGGUACAUCGGUUGUCUGACAAGGCAGGCCGAGCAGCUACGCACCACGGGAUAAGUCCUGAAAGCAUCUAAGGACGAAACCCUCCUUGAAAAGAGAUCGAGAGCACCUAUAGAACAUAGGAUUGAUAGGGUUGGGGUGUACGUGUCGAGGUAACGAGACAUUCAGCCUGCAACUACUAAUAGCUCGAAUUUAUCAUAU